rnacentral:lncRNA from 1 species
CAGCUAUGCAUCACAGUGAUCAGUGGUUUCUAAGAGAUGGGAGCGACCGGAUUGGGAACAGGAACUAUUACCUGGGCAACUAACAAACUGAAGUAUACUGGCUGGGGGUUGGGGGGCAUCUUCUGCUCCAGGGAAGGCCAGGCAUGCCUUCUUUUUGCGUUAUGCUGCUAAAUAUUUUCGGACAACUUCCCGGGGCCCUGCCAGGAGUCGCAGCCACAUUAUCUCAUUCCUUCUGUCCCCCAAGGCUGCGGGGUGCGCGUUAUUAGUUUGAAAGGCCCGAAGUGGGGUGCGGUGCCCCUGGGACCCGGCUGGGCCGCUCUGGCGCCGUUCUGGCUGCCAGCCGCUUUAGGAGCUCCGCUAUGUGGAUUUUUCUGGGAAACCAGAAGCUGUGGGCCUCAGCAAGCAAAGAAUUCCUGGGAAGGAGAGCAAACCCACUGGACCAUCGCUGGAAGGAGAGUUGAAUCACGUGACUAUGUCAGUGUGUCUUGGUCGGGAGAGGUGCCUUCAAUAACAGAGGAAGCGAAGGAGCUGGUAGAAAGCUUCUAUCUGAUGAAGACUCCUUGGGGUGAGGAUGGGGCAGGAAAACAAGGGAUUGGAGACACCUCUCUGUGAGAAAGGCACUGUUGUCAUCAUUUUUUUUUUUUCUUCAACAGAAAUCUGGGCAGAGAGGUUGAGUUACUUGUUUGAAGUUACACAGCUGGUGAGUAGCACAGAUGAAAUUUGAACAGACACUUCACCAAAGGCACAGGGAAGGCAAAUAAGCACAUGAAUAAAUACUCAGCAG